UUUGAUCGAACCGAGCCGCAGCGGUACGUCGCCGCGCCCUUUGCCGUAGGUGGCGAGCAGGGCCUGCGCUUC
rnacentral:antisense_RNA from 1 species